rnacentral:lncRNA from 10 species
CUGAGUCAAAUGGUAUUUCUAGUUCUAGAUCCCUGAGGAAUCACCGCACUGUCUUCCACAAUGGCUGAACUAGUUUACACUCCCACCAACAGUGUAAAAGCGUUCCUAUUUCUCCACAUCCUGUCCAGCACCUGUUGUUUCCUGACUUUUUAAUGAUCACCAUUCUAACUGGUGUGAGAUGGUAUCUCGUUGUGGUUUUGAUUAGCAUUUCUCUGAUGACCAGUGAUGAUGUGCAUUUUUUCAUGUGUCUGUUGGCUGCAUAAAUGUCUUCUUUUGAGAAGUGUCUGUUCAUAUCCUUUGCCCACUUUUUGAUGGGGUUGUUUGAUUUUUUUCUUAUAAAUUUUUCUGAGUUCAGUGUAGAUUCUGGAUAUUAGCCCUCUGUCAGAUGGGUAGAUUGCAAAAAUUUUCCCCAUUCUGUAGGUUGCCUGUUCGCUCUGAUGGUAGUUUCUUUUGCCAUGCAGAAGCUCUUUAGUUUAAUAAGAUCCCAUUUGUCUAUUCUGGCUUUUGUUGCCAUUGCUUUUGGGGUUUUAGUCAUGAAGUCCUUGCCCAUGCCGAUGUCCUGAAUGGUACUGCCUAGGUUUUCUUCUAGGGUUUUUAUGGGUUUAGGUCCAACAUUUAAGUAUUUGAUCCAUCUUGAAUUAAUUUUUGUAUAAAGUGUAAGGAAGGGAUCCAGUUUCAGCUUUCUACAUAUGGCUAGCCAGUUUUCCCAAUACCAUUUAUUAAAUAGGGAUUCCUUUAGGUUUGUCAAAGAUCAGAUGGUUGUAGAUGUGUGGUAUUAUUUCUGAAGGCUCUGUUCUGUUCCAUUGGUCUAUAUCUCUGUUUUGGUGCCAUGCUGUUUUGGUUACUGUAGCCUUGUAGUAUAGUUUGAAGUCAGGUAGUGUGAUGCCUCCAGCUUUGUUCUUUUUGCUUAGGGUUGUCUUGGCAAUGCAGGUUCUUUUUUGAUUGCAUAUGAACUUUAAAGUAUUUUUUUCCAAUUCUGUGAAAAAGUCAUUGAUAGCUUUAUGGGGAUGGCAUUGAAUCUAUAAAUUACCUUGGGCAACAUGGACAUUUUCACAAUAUUGAUUCUUUCUAUCCAUGAGCAUGGAAUGUUCUUCCAUUAGUUUGUGUCCUCUUUUAUUUCGUUGAGCAGUGGUUUGUAGUUCUCCUUCAAAAAAAUCAAUGAAUCCAGGAGCUGGUUUUUUGAAAAGAUCAACAAAAUUGAUAGACCAAUAGCAA